AUGGCAUUGAACCCAUUUUCAAGACCCACCAAACUCAUGUCCUUUUCAUCAAUAUUGCUUCUACUAGCCAUGCUCAUGCCUCUAGCCAAGGCUCAAAGUCCUAGAGAAACCACCAUAGUGUUAUACUUGCAAGACUUGGCAUCUGGGCCAGAUGCCACUGUUGUCCCAAUCACUGGCAUCCAGGGCAAGCCUCAAUCUUUCACCUCAUUUGGCACCAUUUUUGCCGUUGACGAUAUCAUCACAGAAACCCCGGAUAAAGUGUCGGCCCAAAUCGGUCGAGCUCAAGGCAUCCUAGUGGCCUCAUCCUUGUCUGGCUCCAAUGUGCAUGUUUCAAUGUCAGUUGCAUUCACGAAUGUGGAGUACAACGGUAGCAGCCUUGAGAUCCAAGGCAUCAGCCGCCAGUUUGAGAGGUAUAAAGAGGUCUCAGUGGUUUCAGGCACUGGAUCAUUCAGAUAUGCAAGGGGAUAUGCUACUCUUGAGACAGUUUUCUAUGACAAUAAGACCUCCUACUCGAUCAUUCGAUGCACUGUUAGGUUGCUUCCAAACAGUCAAUAG
rnacentral:lncRNA from 1 species